rnacentral:lncRNA from 10 species
AGGGCUCUAGCAAGAAGAUGCCAGCAGAGGCUUGAAAAGUGCCUACCCCUGGCCUGGGAUGCUUCCUCCUGGGAUGCUCCCACUUGGAACCCAACUAUUGUGCUGCAGAAGUUUAACUUAACUGUGUAAGGAGGCCAAGAGGAGGCCCUGGCUGCCAGCCAGCAUCAACUUCCAGUGACGUGAGUGUGCCAUUCUGGAACUGGAUCCUGCAGCCUCGGUGGAGCAGCCUCAGCUGAUGCCAUGUGGAACAGAGAUGAACUGCCGCUGCCGAGCUCUGCCCACGUUGCAGAAUCAUGAGCAAAUAUGUUGUGGAUUGGCUGUAACUCUGCUCUGGGAUCCAGGCUGAAGGAGCAGGCUCUAUCUGGAACAUUACUAGUCUCCAGGCAGAAGAAAAAGAGACAAUGAAGAAAUAAAACAAACUUCUACAUGGCAAAAUAAACCUCUACAUGGCAAAAUAAAC